AGAGUGUGAUGCCUGGCUCAGGACGAACGCUGGCGGCGUGCUUAACACAUGCAAGUCAAGGGGGCCCAGCAAUGGGCAACCGGCGAACGGGUGCGGUAACACGGUGAGCAACCUACCGAAAUGUGGGGGAUAGCCGGCCUAACGGCCGAGUAAUACCGCAUACGCUCUCGAUGAGGCAUUUCAUUGAGAGGAAACCUACGGGACAUUUCGAGGGGCUCGCGGCCUAUCAGCUAGUAGGAGAGGUAACGGCUCACCAAGGCAACGACGGGUAGCUGGUCUGAGAGGAUGGCCAGCCACAUUGGACUGAGAUACGGCCCAGACUCCUACGGGAGGCAGCAGUGGGGAAUCUUGCGCAAUGGCCUAACGGCUGACGCAGCGACGCCGCGUGUAUGAUGAAGCUGUUCGGAGUGUAAACUACUGUUGCCCGGGACGAGUAGCUCGAUGGGUCGAGCCUGACGGUACCGGGUGAGGAAGCACCGGCUAACUCCGUGCCAGCAGCCGCGGUAGUACAGCGGGGUGCGAGCGUAGUACGGAAUCACUGGGCGUACACGGCGCGUAGGUCGUAUGAUACCGCUGUAGUGAAAGCCCGGAGCUCAGCUCAUGGUCUAUCGUGCGGACUGUCAGACUCGCAUGACUGUAACAGGCAAGACUGGGAGUUGCCUGGGCUGUAUUCANCUCGNGCNUGCCCGUACCAAGAUUUCUGGCANUGGAGCAAGCGGCUUUGACCUAAAAGCUNGGUCUUGCUUUGGGCAGCGUUUCUGACACNGAUGGCNCGACAAGC
rnacentral:rRNA from 1 species